rnacentral:rRNA from 1 species
CGUUUUUUGUAUAUAAUAUAAAGUAUAACCUGCCCACUGAUGAAUCUUAAAUGGCCGCGGUAUAUUGACCGUGCAAAGGUAGCAUAAUCAUUAGUCUUUUAAUUGAAGGCUGGAAUGAAUGGUUGGACGAGAUAAUAACUGUCUUGAAUUAAUAUUAUUAUUGAAUUUAAUCUUUAAGUUAAAAAGCUUAAAUAGGUUUAUGGGACGAGAAGACCCUAUAGAAUUUAUAUAUUAUAUUAAAUUUUAAUUGGUUUGGUUAUGAUAAAAUUUAAUCAAAUAUUUCGUUGGGGUGAUGGAAAGAAAAAUUUAACUCUUUUUGUUAAUUGAAUAUUAAUGUAUAAAUUUUUGAUCCACUAUUAAUGAUUAUAAGAUCAAAUUCUUAGGGAUAACAGCGUAAUUUUUCUUGAGAGUUCAUAUCGACAGAAAGGAUUGCGA